UACGGAGGAUGCGAGCGUUAUCCGGAUUUAUUGGGUUUAAAGGGUGCGUAGGCGGACGCUUAAGUCAGCGGUAAAAUUGCGGGGCUCAACCUCGUCGAGCCGUUGAAACUGGGUGCCUUGAGUGGGCGAGAAGAGGGCGGAAUGCGUGGUGUAGCGGUGAAAUGCAUAGAUAUCACGCAGAACCCCGAUUGCGAAGGCGGCCUUCCGGCGCCCUACUGACGCUGAGGCACGAAGGUGCGGGGAUCGAACAGG
rnacentral:rRNA from 1 species